CACUGAACCUUAUCAUUUAGAGGAAGGAGAAGUCGUAACAAGGUUACCGUAGGUGAACCUGCGGUAGGAUCAUUG
rnacentral:ncRNA from 1 species